GGGGUACCUGCGGAGGGAUCAUUACACAAAUAUGAAGGCGGGCUGGAACCUCUCGGGGUUACAGCCUUGCUGAAUUAUUCACCCUUGUCUUUUGCGUACUUCUUGUUUCCUUGGUGGGUUCGCCCACCACUAGGACAAACAUAAACCUUUUGUAAUUGCAAUCAGCGUCAGUAACAAAUUAAUAAUUACAACUUUCAACAACGGAUCUCUUGGUUCUGGCAUCGAUGAAGAACGCAGCGAAAUGCGAUAAGUAGUGUGAAUUGCAGAAUUCAGUGAAUCAUCGAAUCUUUGAACGCACAUUGCGCCCUUUGGUAUUCCAAAGGGCAUGCCUGUUCGAGCGUCAUUUGUACCCUCAAGCUUUGCUUGGUGUUGGGCGUCUUGUCUCUAGCUUUGCUGGAGACUCGCCUUAAAGUAAUUGGCAGCCGGCCUACUGGUUUCGGAGCGCAGCACAAGUCGCACUCUCUAUCAGCAAAGGUCUAGCAUCCAUUAAGCCUUUUUUUCAACUUUGACCUCGGAUCAGUAGGUUCCCAUUUCU
rnacentral:rRNA from 1 species